rnacentral:rRNA from 1 species
UACGUAGGGUGCAAGCGUUAAUCGGAAUUACUGGGCGUAAAGCGUGCGCAGGCGGUUAUGUAAGACAGAUGUGAAAUCCCACGGCUCAACCGUGGAACUGCGUCUGAUACUGGAGGGCUUGAAUCCGGGAGAGGGAUGUGGAAUUCCAGGUGUAGCGGUGAAAUGCGUAGAUAUCUGGAGGAACACCGGUGGCGAAGGCGGCAUCCUGGACCGGUAUUGACGCUGAGGCGCGAAAGCUAGGGGAGCAAACGGG